rnacentral:rRNA from 1 species
ACACGUAGGUCGCAAGCGUUGUCCGGAUUUAUUGGGCGUAAAGGGCUCGUAGGCGGUUUCGUAAGUCGGGUGUGAAAACUCAGGGCUCAACCCUGAGACGCCACUCGAUACUGCGAUGACUUGAGUCCGGUAGGGGAGCAGGGAAUUCCUGGUGUAGCGGUGAAAUGCGCAGAUAUCAGGAGGAACACCAUUAGCGAAGGCGCUGCUCUGGGCCGGUACUGACGCUGAGGAGCGAAAGCAUGGGGAGCAAACAGGAUUAGAUACCCUAGUAGUCC